GGGCCCGCACAAGCGGUGGAGCAUGUGGUUUAAUUCGAUGCAACGCGAAGAACCUUACCAGGACUUGACAUACUACAGAUCCUUUUGAGAAAAAGGAGUGCCUUCGGGAAUGUAGAUACAGGUGGUGCAUGGCUGUCGUCAGCUCGUGUCGUGAGAUGUUGGGUUAAGUCCCGCAACGAGCGCAACCCUUAUUUUAGUUACUAAUUCGUUAGGCUCUCUAGAAAGACUGCCGGUGACAAACCGGAGGAAGGUGAGGAUGACGUCAAGUCAGCAUGCCCCUUAUGUCCUGGGCUACACACGUGCUACAAUGGUUAAGACAAAGAGUCGCGAGCUCGCAAGAGUCAGCUAAUCUCAUAAACUUAGCCUAAGUUCAGAUUGUAGGCUGCAACUCGCCUACAUG
rnacentral:rRNA from 1 species